rnacentral:lncRNA from 1 species
UCCUUUUCGGACUCAGUCAGCCUGCACCCAGGUGAUUAAAAAGCUUUAUUGCUCACACAAAGACUGUUUGGUGGUCUCUUCACAUGGACGCAAAUGACAUUUGGUGCCAAAGACCUGGGACAGGGGGACUCCUUCGGGAGUCCCAUCCCCUGUCCUCGCCCUCACUCCAUGGGGAGAUCCACCUCUUGGGUCCUCAGACCAGCCAGCCCAAGGUCAUCUCACCAAUUUUAAAUCGGGUCUCCUUGGCUUAGUGGCUGAAGACUGAUGCUACCCGAUCACCUCGGAAGCCCCCCGGAGAAUCACGGAUGCCAAACUUCAGGUUCAGCACUCCUGCAGAAACUGAUACUCACCCCAGAAAGACACCUUUUCCCAUCCCUCUGGCCCCUAAGCCUCCAGGGCUGCUCGGCACCUGGCCUCAGCAGGUGAACAUCAUGCCAGAUUCCUUGUCAGAUUCAAGGCCAAGUGGGUGAAUGUCAUGUGCAGUGUUGUGCCAGGUAUGUGCCGGGAGCCACAUGUUCCUUGGGGACAGCCUAGUGAAGCAGGAGACAAAUAAACAUGCUUGGAUGGAGGUAUGCAUGUGCUGUAACUCUGGAAUCCCUGGAAUAAUGGAGCCCUACAGAGAGGUACCUAAGAAAAGAAGUGACAGCGUCAAAGCAACAAAGGACAGACACGGGUAGGUGGGUGACAAUCCCCAGGAGAAGUAGGAUAAAAGUCCAGGGAAUUCUGGUACAUUUCUGUCUCCUUUCAGUGGCUUCGCUGAGCACAUUAAAUAGGGCCAUGCUACUAUCCCCAGUUUACAGAUGUAGAAACUGAGGCUCAGUGACUGCAAGUAGCUUCCCAACUGAUACUGAUCACAAUAAAAUAUUAUAAAAAGUUAACAGGAAGGGAGAUAUUAGGUCCUCUGCUGCUCUGGUGCACCUGCCAUUCCUUGCUAAGCAUCACUAUGGCAAAUAGUAAGACUCAAGGCUGCAACCAGAAAUUGGUUGAGAUUCGUGUUCCUGUCUCAAGGGUUACUCCCAGUGGCACCCCCUGGGUUUUCUAGAACAAAGGACUCCAUCUCAGCAGGGAGAAAGAAAGAUGCAGUUUCUGACCAUAUCAAUGGCAUUGCUGGAGGAUCUCCCUCUCUAUGUUGCCACACCGAGAGGUGCACAGAACACAUUCUGACAAGUAAAGAUUCCAGUGUCAUCUGAUAACUAUCAACAACUUCAUUAGCUCACCUAAACAAAGAGCCUUUCUUAUUUUUUUAGAAACAAAACUCUUAUGGAAACGAUUAUGUUUUCUUCUUUCCUCUAAAACACUUACUUGGCUAAGAUGAUUUUUAUUCUAAGAUGAAGAUUUACCUGCCCUACAAACUUCAGGAGGUGGUGUGACUGGUUGGAAUCUAUACCAACAGUGAUAGACUAAUCGUUGCUUGGAAUUCAAAUGCAGCCAGCACUCUGUCCUAACUAAUGAAAUUGGUGUUGUUCUGCAAAGGAAAAUAAUUGAAGGCAUGUUCUGCCACUUAAUUCCACAGAAAGUAACAUCUUCUAACAUGUAGGGACUUGCCUACUGAGAGCUGCACUGACUGUGUCAAGGAAGAUACUAUGCAUUGGAAGAACACCCAAGCAACACUUGCCUCUCCCCUACUCAUUUCCUGUAUUAAAGCAUUCAUCAUGUUUUUAAAGCUGUGCUGUCAGUAUUGUGCUCCCAGACAUUAUUCUUGGUCUUGGUCAACUUUGUACCCUAAGCACAUGGAGAAGAGACAAAUAAGCAGAUAAUUAUAGGACAGCUAAGGAAAAAUAAUCAUAAAAUUGUGAGAAAAAUCAUGUCCUUAUCAACAAUGAAAG